UAAUGUAUUACCCAUAUGGUGAAACAUAACCAGUGUCACAUAUAUCAUAUGUGCAACUGUGCACAUAUCACUUCUGCCUAGCAACCAUCUUUUCUGCAUAAUUUUCUUUUAGAGUUUUUUUCUGAGCCUAUCCAUAAUACCUGUGUUUUGUUUACAUUUAUUUUUAAGCCUGAAAAUGAGGCAUAUUUACUAA